UUACUAGAGUAGCACUCGCAUAUCAAUAAGCGGAGGAAAAGAAACUAACAAGGAUUCCCCUAGUAACGGCGAGUGAAGCGGGAAGAGCUCAAAUUUGAAAUCUUGAAGGGUUUCCCUUUACGAAUUGUAGUUUAAAGAAGUGUUUUCUGUUGAGGUUUUGGUAAAAGUUCUUUGGAAUAGGACAUCAUAGAGGGUGAGAAUCCCGUAUUUGACCUUUACUUUCAACUUUGUGAUACACUUUCAAAGAGUCGGAUUGUUUGGGAAUGCAGUCCAAAAUGGGUGGUAAAUUUCAUCUAAAGCUAAAUAUUGGCGAGAGACCGAUAGCGAACAAGUACCGUGAGGGAAAGAUGAAAAGAACUUUGAAAAGAGAGUUAAACAGUACGUGAAAUUGUCAAAAGGGAAGCGUUUGACACCAGUGUUGUUUUCCUGAAAAUCAAUUAAAGAACUGUUUAUGCUAAGUUGUUUAGACUUUAUCAGCUAACUGUUUAGUUUUGAGCUUUUCUUUAAUGCACUUUUCAGUUAACAAGUCAACAUCAAUUUCUUUUGCUGUAAAAAAGCUUGAGGAAGGUGGCUUGAGAUUCGUCUUAAGUGUUUAUAGCCUCUUGCCUAUGCAGUCGGAGAGAUUGAGGUCUGCAGCGUAGAUCCUUCGGGGCUAAAUGCAUUUGUGCUAAGUUAUAGCAUUUUAUAGACAACUUGUUGACUAUGAUUUGUCUUGUAGCUUACUCGCUUAUGUUAUUUUACCUACGCUUAGGAUGUUGAUCUCUCACAGUCGAGC
rnacentral:rRNA from 1 species